rnacentral:misc_RNA from 1 species
GGAAGUGAAAGUCGUAACAAGGUUUCCGUAGGUGAACCUGCGGAAGGAUCAUUCAUAAUAAGUGUUUUAUGGCACUUUUUUAAAUCCAUAUCCACCUUGUGUGCAAUGUCAGGGUUGAUUUUCCUCUCGAGAGGAUCAGCCCCAAACAUCAACUAUAUCUCAACUCUUUGUCUGAAAAAUAUUAUGAAUAAAACAAUUCAAAAUACAACUUUCAACAACGGAUCUCUUGGCUCUC